rnacentral:rRNA from 1 species
AUUGAACGCUGGCGGAAUGCUUUACACAUGCAAGUCGAGCGGCAGCACGGGGGCAACCCUGGCGGCGAGUGGCGAACGGGUGAGUAAUACAUCGGAACAUGCCCAGUCGUGGGGGAUAACACUUCGAAAGAAGUGCUAAUACCGCAUACGUCCUGAGGGAGAAAGCGGGGGAUCUUCGGACCUCGCGCGAUUGGAGUGGCCGAUGUCAGAUUAGCUAGUUGGUGGGGUAAAGGCCUACCAAGGCAACGAUCUGUAGCUGGUCUGAGAGGAUGAUCAGCCACACUGGGAGUGAGACACGGCCCAGACUCCUACGGGAGGCAGCAGUGGGGAAUUUUGGACAAUGGGGGCAACCCUGAUCCAGCCAUUCCGCGUGAGUGAAGAAGGCCUUCGGGUUGUAAAGCUCUUUCGGCAGGAACGAAACGGCGAGCUCUAACAUAGCUUGCUAAUGACGGUACCUGAAGAAGAAGCACCGGCUAACUACGUGCCAGCCGCCGCAGUAAUAC